rnacentral:rRNA from 1 species
UACGUAGGUGACAAGCGUUAUUCGGAUUUAUUGGGCGUAAAGCGCACGCAGGCGGCUGAUUAAGUCUGACGUGAAAUCUCCCGGCUUAACCGGGAGCGGUCGUUGGAAACUAAUUGGCUUGAGGCGAUGAGAGGGGUGUGGAAUUCCCGGUGUAGUGGUGGAAUGCGUAGAUAUCGGGAGGAACAUCAGUGGCGAAAGCGGCACCCUGGCAUUAGCCUGACGCUCAUGUGCGAAAGCGUGGGGAGCGAACGGG